rnacentral:rRNA from 1 species
AUUGAACGCUGGCGGCAUGCCUAACACAUGCAAGUCGAACGGGGCAGCAAUGCCUAGUGGCGGACGGGUGAGGAAUACGUAGGAAUCUGCCCUUAAGUGGGGGAUAACCAGGGGAAACCCUGACUAAUACCGCAUGAUCUCUUCGGAGCAAAGAGGGGGACCGCAAGGCCUCUCGCUUCUGGAUGAGCCUACGGCUGGUUAGCUAGUUGGUGGGGUAAAGGCCUACCAAGGCGACGAUCAGUAACUGGUCUGAGAGGAUGAUCAGUCACACCGGAACUGAGACACGGUCCGGACUCCUACGGGAGGCAGCAGUGGGGAAUAUUGGACAAUGGGCGCAAGCCUGAUCCAGCAAUGCCGCGUGUGUGAAGAAGGCCUUCGGGUUGUAAAGCAUUUUAGCCUGGAAAGAAAAAACUUUGGUUAACACCCAAAGUCUUGACGGUACCAGGAGAAUAAGCACCGGCUAACUCUGUGCCAGCAGCCGCAGUAAGAC